rnacentral:rRNA from 1 species
GACGUAGGGCGCGAGCGUUGUCCGGAUUUAUUGGGCGUAAAGAGCUCGUAGGCGGCUUGUUACGUCGGUUGUGAAAACCCGCAGCUUAACUGUGGGCUUGCAGCUGAUACGGGUGGGCUAGAGUUCGGUAGGGGAGACUGGAAUUCCUGGUGUAGCGGUGAAAUGCGCAGAUAUCAGGAGGAACACCGGUGGCGAAGGCGGGUCUCUGGGCCGAUACUGACGCUGAGGAGCGAAAGCGUGGGGAGCGUACAGG